AGCUCGGGGACCGGUUUUGAUCGAGCUCCUUCCCAUGGGCGGGGGCGGGGGAGGGGGGCAGGCUAGUCCCCGUCCUCCUGUGGCACUUCGCGGAGCCCCGAUCGCGUACAGUCCCCCCCACUGCGCGGGGGAAACCGGCUCUCAGAGAGGUUCAGGAACCUGCCCGGGGUCACACAGCUGGGACUUUAACCCCGAUCGUCCAGCUUCCGGAAGCCGCGCUCUCCCUCUCUCUCUCUGACCUGAGCCUUGUGUCCCCAGGGCCCGAGCACAACCUUCCCCAGCGCCGCAGACGGACGACCGCGGUGCCCCGGGCACGCGUGAAGGGCACGGACAGGGGCCACCCUUCUCUGGUGGUUUUGCCCGAUGUGGCAGCGCGUGAGCGACGGGCAGGACUGCUGUCGGGCUGUCACCCUCCCCAACCCGCCUCCCCUCUGGCAACCAGCAGGCUAUUCUCCGCAUCUGUGUGAACUCUGAGAUUUUCUGAUCCAGCAGGAGCAGAGCCGUGAGGAGCUGAUCUGAAGUGUAGCAAGGCCUGGAGGGAGAGAGCCAGAUCCCAGGGACCUCUGGGAAGGCAGAAGAUGAUCUGUCACUGCUGUGAGAACAGGAUCGAUGGUGGAGGAGUGCUCCCAAGCUUGCCCAGCCAACAUUUCUGGUGCUUCAAAAACAGUCGAUGACAAGGUGGGCCUGCCUGUCGCGGGAGGAAAAAGGAGGACGCGGAAGGCAGGAACGAACCCUCAGGGCGCUCAAGGGUCGGCUGUGGGUCCCCAGCGUGCUGGGUCCAGCCACACCUGAAACACAACUCCUGAGUCCAGCCACACCUGAGACGCAGGCGACUGCAAGCUGCAAACAGCACCGCCAGCAGCGCUGUGCUCCAGGCGGCGGUAUGUGGCCCCCGUGAGUUGUGCGGAGCCCUGCAGACACCCCGACCCCCAGGAGCCCUCGCUGCUCCCGUCGGACACGCAGCGGGGCUCCCCGAGACCGUGGUCCUUUCGCGAACCCCUCACCUCUCCCAGCCUGCCCUCCACGUUGGCGAAGCUCUGUCCACUUCCAACAAAGAAGCCUAUUUUCUAUGCAAUUCAGAUUGUGCGAAAGAACUUUCUAAGUGUCAUGAUAGCAUAUAAGGACACUGUCACACUCACACUAUUGGUGAUACAUUAAAAAAAUUAAACCUCUUUGGAGGUAAUUUUGACAUAUAUGAACUUACAGUUAUUAUUCCAUUUGUCCCCACAAUCUUCAAAUUUUCCUUAUACAGUGCAUUAAAAAUAUUUACUACAACAUUUUAGUGAUAAUGAUAAAGUGCAAAUAACUCUCCACUGGCAUAUAAAUAAAAUAGUUAAAUAAAUAAUGAGUAUACACAUUGAGAAAUACUUUAUGUAAAAGGACAUCUGUUAUCAGGCAAACAGGUUUAAGCUUACAUUAAAUUUUUUUUUAAAGGAGGUUGUAAAAAAGAGCAGUAUAUAUGGUAUGAUUCCACAUUUGUUAAAAUGCAGAAAAAAGUUGUAAGUAAAUGUCUGCCACUCACUCGGAUAUAAUUAGUGACCUUUUAUGUCAUAGGUGGAAAUUCUUACAUAGGAAAUGUAUGUAUAUUUUAUAUGCACAUUUUUAUAUAGGAAAAUACACAUAUUUCAUAUGCACACACAUCUGGAGGAAUAUACACCCAAAUGUUACACUGUCUACCUUCAAGGUGAUGAGAGGGGAGUAUGGGGAACAUUAACUCACCACCAUAUAUUUUUUCAAAGUUUGCUUCUUUUGAAAAAAUAAGCAUGCGUUCAUUUUGUAUUUCCCACCCGCAAUAAAGAUUUUUAAAAAUCA